rnacentral:rRNA from 1 species
UUUAAUUGAAGAGUUUGAUCAUGGCUCAGAUUGAACGCUGGCGGCAGGCCUAACACAUGCAAGUCGAGCGGUAACAGAGAGUAGCUUGCUACUUUGCUG